ensembl:snoRNA
GCUGAGGUCUAUCCCCAUGGGGCUUUUCCUGUAGACCCACAUCACUCAAAAUGCCUCCUAGAAUAACAAUGUGGUUUUGCUUUCCUCACAGAACUAUUUGUUAGAUCUGUGGGAAAGAACUACAAGGGGCGC